rnacentral:rRNA from 1 species
UACGAAGGGGGCUAGCGUUGUUCGGAUUUACUGGGCGUAAAGCGCACGUAGGCGGAUCGUUAAGUCGGGGGUGAAAUCCUGGAGCUCAACUCCAGAACUGCCUUCGAUACUGGCGAUCUUGAGUCCGGAAGAGGUGAGUGGAACUCCGAGUGUAGAGGUGAAAUUCGUAGAUAUUCGGAAGAACACCAGUGGCGAAGGCGGCUCACUGGCCCGAAUCUGACGCUGAGGCGCGAAAGCGUGGGGAGCAAACAGG